AGGAGGGACAACCGCAGUGGCGGGGCCAGCUCUGCAGCCCUGGAUUCAGCCCCCGCAGUAGCUCCGGAGCUCUCCGUCUGCAGGGCCUGGAGGCUCCGGGGCGGG
rnacentral:pre_miRNA from 1 species